rnacentral:rRNA from 1 species
CAGCCGCCGCGGUAAUACGUAGGGUGCAAGCGUUAAUCGGAAUUACUGGGCGUAAAGCGUGCGCAGGCGGUCCGUUAAGACAGAUGUGAAAUCCCCGGGCUUAGCCUGGGAACUGCAUUUGUGACUGGCGGGCUAGAGUAUGGCAGAGGGGGGUAGAAUUCCACGUGUAGCAGUGAAAUGCGCAGAUAUGUGGAGGAAUACCGAUGGCGAAGGCAGCCCCCUGGGAUAACACUGACGCUCAUGCACGAAAGCGUGGGGAGCAAACAGGAUUAGAUACCCCCGUAGUCCCUGUCUCUUAUAC